AUCGCUGCUAAUCUAUCGCUGCCAACCUAUCUACCGCGGCGAAUCUAUCUAUCGCUGCCAAUUUAUCUACCACUGCCAAUCUAUCUAUCGCUGCCAAUCUAUCGCUGCUAAUCUAUCGCUGCUAAUCUAUUGCUGCUGCCAAUCUAUCUAUCACUGCUAAUCUAUUGCUGCUAAUCUAUCACUGCUAAUCUAUCGCUGCUAAUCUAUCGCUGCCAACCUAUCUACCGCGGCGAAUCUAUCUAUUGCUGCCAAUCAACCUACCUACCACUGCCAAUCUAUCUAUCGCUGCCAAUCUAUCGCUGCCAACCUAUCUACUGCAGUGAAUCUAUCUAUCACUAUCAUUACUAGUUCAAAAUAGAACUAGAGCAUAAAUACACUAAACUUCUUUUGAUAGGUAAUGAUUUUUGGUAACACUCAUAGCAUUAUAUCAUCUAUAUAGGAUAAAUCAUGAUCCCAUUUGAUCCCAUUUUAACAAAAUGGGACCAAAUGAGACCAGAAUCAGUAAUUUAUAAGAAGAACAUGACCUGAGACUAGAUUUAUAAUAUAAACAGUGUAAAGUGACUAAUUUAAGAAACACUAU
rnacentral:sRNA from 1 species